rnacentral:rRNA from 1 species
AGUUCUUUCUUAAUUUUUCUUUUAAAUUUUAUCUUUUAGUAAAAAGGCUAAAAUGUAUCUUUUAGACAAGAAGACCCUAUAAAGCUUUACAUAAAAUAAUCUAAUAAAUUAAAAAUAUGUUUUACUGGGGCGGUGAAAAGAAAAACACUUUUAAAUUAUUAUAGACAAUGUAGUCUUAAUACCCAGAAUUUUUGAAAGUUAAAUAAGUUACUUUAGGGAUAACAGCGUAAUAUGUUUUGAAAGCUCAAAUUGACAAACAUGUUUGCGACCUCGAUGUUGGAUUAGUUUUCCUUUACUAUGCAAGAGUAUUAACAGGAGGUCUGUUCGACCUUUAAAGAAUUCCA